rnacentral:rRNA from 1 species
GAGAAGUCGUAACAAGGUUUCCGUAGGUGAACCUGCGGAAGGAUCAUUCACAUUUUGUGCUUUGCACUAUUUCUGGCAACUCUUUGGUUCCUGUUCUUUGAUGCUCGUCACUUGACGGGUGCGUGCACGUGUUUUUCGUUACCUCACGCCGGGUUCUAGAGGUUGUUGGAACUGUGACGGGACGGUUGAUUUUCAAUCGUCAACCCUCUGGUCAGGCGCAAGCUUGACCUUGAGGGCGUUACACCCUACCCCUCCUGCAUUUUUAUCACCAAUUCUCCUUGUGGGAUUUGUGAAAUAAUGCUAGGGUUAUGCCUCUCAGCAAGCGAUUGAUUUGUAUCCUAAAGGUAUUGAUUGAAAGCUUGUUGAGAGGAUGCCUUUUCUGAUGCAUUUGAUGUGUCAGAAUUGGUUUUGCCAACUUGUUGGUUUUACAAACACGUUUGUCAUUUGUUGCAAUUUGCAGUUUUAUGACAAAGUUUUUAGCAAUUUUUAAACUGUCAGCGGUGGAUGUCUUGGCUCACACAACGAUGAAGGACGCAGCGAAGUGCGAUAAGCAUUGUGACUUGCAGACUUCUGCGAAUCAACAGAUUUCUGAACGUAUUAGACACACCACCUCUGCUUGCACGUGGUACUCCCAUUUCAGUGAACCUCAAAUUCCUAACCCAAACCACUUUGGGUUGUGACUGACGGUCCCAUAUGGGUCGUUUAACUUUAGUUAAUAUCGUGUAUUUUGUCACGUGCUCCUUGGUUUCCUUGGAGUUAUGGAACCUUUGAUGUAAUUAUUUACUUCUUGUUCUAUAAUAGUGGUAGAUACGCUUCUUAUUAACUUUCUCGAAUGAGAUUUGAUAGUUUUGCAAACCUGGAUUUAUUCGGGUGUGAACUACAAAAUUCCGUUCCUGAGAUUGGGUGAGAUUAUCCACUGAAUUUAAACAUAUAAUUAAGUGGAAGAAAAGAAAAUAAAUAUGAUUCCCUUAGUAGCGGCGAGUGAAG